AGCAUCUCAUUCACAAAACAGAGGACUUAGAAAAAUCAUUCAAGGAGAGACAGUUUAAGUAUCAUUGUUCUACCAGAAGACCAUGACAAAAGAAAAUUCCCGGAUAUUAUACUACAGGAAAUUAUCCAAGAAAACAGCCCCAAUAUUCUAGAACAAGAGGGAAAAGUGGAGAUUGAAAGAAUCCACAGAUCACCUCCUGUACAUAAUCCCCAACUGACAACACCCAGGAAUGUUAUAGCCAAAUUCAAGAACAAUCAGACCAAGGGAAAAAUAUUAGAAGCUACCAAGAAGAAGUCAUUCAGAUACAAUGGAACCACAGUGAGGAUAACAUAAGAUCUGGCCGCAUCUACACCGAAGAACCGAAAGACAUGGAAUAUGAUAUUCUGGAAAGCAAGGGAACUAGGUCUACAACCAAGAAUCAACUACCCAGCAAAACUGACUAUAUUCAACAAAAUAGAAGAAUUCCAAGCAUUUGUACAGAAAAGACUAGACCUGAAUAGAAAAAAUUGAUGCCCAAACACAGAACGCAAGAGAAUCAUCAAAUGUUACUGGAAAAAAGGGAAAAAAGAAAAACAAAACAAACAAAAAAGAAACAACCUUUUUUGAGAGACCCAAAAGUUGAAUCUGGUUGAUCACUUCCUGUGAGUAGCCUGUGUGCCAGUUUGAUCAUGGAACUCAGCCUGGAGGAGUUCACUCAGACAGCUUCCCUGAGACGGUCUCAUGAUUUGUCACUUCAUUGGACUCCAGGUAAGACACUUCUUUUUACUAAUGCAGAUAGACAUUUUAGAAAUUUAGAUGCUAGAGACUUAGAAUUCUAGAAUGUUUAAUGGGUUACUAAGAAGUUAGAGAUUAGCCUACCUGUGACAGACAACCUGAACACAGGUCUUCCUAACUCUAAACCCAACUCUCUACUACAUUACACUGGCACUCAAUAAGAUAACUUUAAUAAUUUUUAAAAUCUCUAUAAUUUAAAUAACUAAACACUUUGCUUUCAAAGAUAAACCAUAGAUAAGAAAUGAAUUGUAAAGUUGGCCUUUCCAACUCUGACACCAAAUGAGCUUAUGGGUUUGAAUCUGUUGCCUAUCCACAUUAACUACUGAUUUUUCAAAAAUAAAUUUAAAAUGCUGGUACAUAAAAUAUUUUCUGAUAAAACAUAACAAAUUUUAUUGAUUUCUGAUUCUCUUUCCUCUAAAUUUAAGAUAAAUCAAAGGACUUUUCGAUUGCUUCCAUACUCCCUUUUCCUCCUUAAAGAUCUAACUUGUUCAUGAACAAGCUGUGGUUAUCUUCGUGAUUAAAAAAGAAAAAUAAUAAAAUACAUUUGAAAAUGAGGAGCAAGUUCCUGAAAUUAUCAUUUGAACUUACCAGUUGAAAUCAAAACAGCCAAAACCAGUAUCUUGAAUGACAGCAUUUUAUUUCUCCUUUGAUGGUGGUGGUGUUUAGGCUAGAGUGUUUCUUUCUGAAUGAGGGAAGGAUGUAAUGCUUUUCAGCCACUCUUGAACUCAAAAGUACAGGUUGGUGUCACUUCUGAGCUCUAAAUUAGUGAGAAGAAAAAAGAGAAAAA